rnacentral:tRNA from 1 species
GGACAGGUGGCAGAGUGGUUGAAUGCACCGGUCUUGAAAACCGGCGUGGGUGCAAGCCCACCGUGGGUUCGAAUCCCACCCUGUCCG